AUCAUCCUAGCAUAAUUAAUGCAGCUGACUUCCAAUCACCUAAUCUUAGAUAACCCUAAGGGAGGAUA
rnacentral:tRNA from 1 species